rnacentral:rRNA from 1 species
GCGGUCUACUUAUCGCGUUAGCUUCGCUACUCACGACUUAAAGUCACAAACAGCUAGUAGACAGCGUUUACGGUGUGGACUACCAGGGUAUCUAAUCCUGUUCGCUACCCACACUUUCGCACAUGAGCGUCAGUCUUUGGCCAGGGAGUCGCCUUCGCCACUGAUGUUCCUCCAGAUAUCUACGCAUUUCACCGCUACACCUGGAAUUCCACUCCCCUCUCCAAGACUCUAGUCUGCCAGUUCUAAAUGACCGUCCCAGGUUGAGCCCGGGGCUUUCACAUCUAGCUUAACAAACCGCCUGCGUGCGCUUUACGCCCAGUAAUUCCGAUUAACGCUCGCACCCUCCGUAUUACCGCGGCUGCUGGCACGGAGUUAGCCGGUGCUUCUUCUGUUGUUAACGUCACGGCUAGCAGGUAUUAACUACUAACUUUUCCUCACAACUGAAAGUGCUUUACAACCCGAAGGCCUUCUUCACACACGCGGCAUGGCUGCAUCAGGGUUUCCCCCAUUGUGCAAUAUUCCCCACUGCUGCCUCCCGUAGGAGUCUGGGCCGUGUCUCAGUCCCAGUGUGGCUGAUCUUCCUCUCAGAACAGCUAGAGAUCGUUGCCUUGGUGAGCCUUUACCUCACCAACUAGCUAAUCUCACUUGGGCCUCUCUUUGCGCCGGAGCCGAAGCCCCGUUUGGUCCGAAGACAUUAUGCGGUAUUAGCAGUCGUUUCCAACUGUUAUCCCCCUCGCAAAGGCA